UGGUUGCUAGGGAGAUACUGCUCUGAUAAUGCGAACACUUUCACAUUUUUCUGGACAAAUGUCUGCAGAUCACAUCUUGAUUUUGUGUUAUCCCUCCUUUCUAUCCCCUGCAUUGUGGCCUGGACUCUUGCACAUGGCGCUACCUGUUUGUUAUGAAGACAUCAGCAAAUCCAUCUUGAAGUCAGGAAGCGCAACAAAGUCAUUCUUCAAGAAAAAUGCCUUCCUGGGAGAGAUACAGCUAAACACAGAUGGAAGUCAUUUAUGAAAGAAUUGCAUCUUUUCACAUCUUUUACCUCAAAAAGUUAGACAUUAUCAUGAAUUCUCAUUGAAAGCCAAAAAACACCGUUACUUAGUUUUGGACAUAGCCAAAUUUCAUUUUUGCUGAGAUUCCAGAUAAGGUGAGGUGUACUAAGAAAACAUUCUUUAAAUGAGAUUUUUUUUUUUUUUUUUUUUCUGCUUAGAAACAGCUGACUGUUCUCUGGCCUACUCUAUCUUUUGCAGGCAGGUGCUUACAAAUAAGUGCUGUUUGAAAUGACCUGAUAUAGAACAGGUUUGAUGCAAAGUCACAGCAUCUGUGACAUUAAGUCGCAGCUAAGAAACCUUCAGUAGUACUUAACACUUCAAACUCUACCACCAACACCAUCACAUCCAGCUUGGGUUGAUCUUAGAAGACUCUAUGCAACAAACCUCUACUUGUGUUUUUUUGCUUAAGCAAGCUAGAAUACCAGUGUCUAGUUCUAUUUUAUUUAUUUUAUUUAAAAAAGUUAUUUUUAUUGUCCCUGACAGUACUGGUCAACUUUAACUCUAUUCGAGCUUUGGAAACAUGAAUUUUCACCCUACAAUGGUGAACAACACCUCUUUAGUCCUCCCAGGUUGCCACACUGUCCUGGUUUCAGUUAGGACAGAGUUAAUUUUCUUCCUAGUAGCUGGUAGAAUGCUAUGUUUUGGCUUAGGAUGAGAAGAGUGCUGAUAAUACCCUGAUGUUUUAAUUGUUGCAGAGCAGUGCUUACACCAAGCCAAGGACGUCUCAGCUUCUUGCUCUGUCCUGCCAAUGGGCAGGCUGGGGAUGCAGUAAGAGCUGGGAGGGGACAGACCCAAACUAGCCAAAGGGGUAUUCCAUACCAUCUAACGUAAUGUUAAACAAUAUAUAGGGGUGGCUAGCCGGAGGAGGGGGGCCAGACUGCUCAGGGUUAGGCUGGCAUUGGUCAGCGGGUGGUGAGCAAUUGCAUUGUACAUCACGUUUUUGUACACAUUAUUAGUAGUAGUACUAUUAUCAUCAUUAUUGUUAUUAUUAUUUUCCUGUCUUAAUAAACUGUCUUUAUCUCAACUCA
rnacentral:lncRNA from 1 species